GAGCACGUGGUCUCGUUAUUCGUAACACUCAAUGAAAUGUUCCUUGGAGUUAAGGCUCUCAACACUGUGUGGUCCGGAAUUCAGCAUCAGCAAAAGUGGAAGUAUUUACAGAAUAACUACACCUGUGAGAUGAACAAGGAAAAGUACUGGAAAUCACGGAGUGCUGCUUCUGGAAAGCUAGAGUACUUAUUCUUCCAGCUACAUGUCUUGAAAUCAGUUACCAAUAA